rnacentral:rRNA from 1 species
GACGAACGCUGGCGGCGUGCUUAACACAUGCAAGUCGAGCGGUAAGGCCCUUUCGGGGGUACACGAGCGGCGAACGGGUGAGUAACACGUGGGUGACCUGCCUCUAGCUCUGGGAUAAGCCUGGGAAGCUGGGUCUAAUACCGGAUAUGACCUCGCGGUGCAUGUUGCGGGGUGGAAAGCCUUGUGCGGCUAGGGAUGGGCCCGCGGCCUAUCAGCUUGUUGGUGGGGUGAUGGCCUACCAAGGCGACGACGGGUAGCCGGCCUGAGAGGGCGACCGGCCACACUGGGACUGAGACACGGCCCAGACUCCUACGGGAGGCAGCAGUGGGGAAUCUUGCGCAAUGGGCGGAAAGCCUGACGCAGCGACGCCGCGUGAGGGA